rnacentral:rRNA from 1 species
AUUGAACGCUGGCGGCAUGCUUUACACAUGCAAGUCGAACGGUAACAGGGAGCUUGCUCCGCUGACGAGUGGCGAACAGGAGAGUAAUGCGUCGGAACGUGCCGAGUAGUGGGGGAUAACGCAUCGAAAGGUGUGCUAAUACCGCAUACGUACUGAGGUAGAAAGUGGGGGACCUUCGGGCCUCACGCUAUUCGAGCGGCCGACGUCUGAUUAGCUAGUUGGUGAGGUAAAGGCUCACCAAGGCGACGAUCAGUAGCGGGUCUGAGAGGAUGAUCCGCCACACUGGGACUGAGACACGGCCCAGACUCCUACGGGAGGCAGCAGUGGGGAAUUUUGGACAAUGGGCGCAAGCCUGAUCCAGCCAUGCCGCGUGUCUGAAGAAGGCCUUCGGGUUGUAAAGGACUUUUGUCCGGGAGCAAAUGCCUGGUGUUAAUAGCACUGGGAGCUGAGAGUACCGGAAGAAUAAGCACCGGCUAACUACGUGCCAGCCGCCGCGGUAAAAC